rnacentral:tRNA from 2 species
UCCGUGUGUAGGGGAACUGGUAGACCCACCUGACUGUUAAUCAGGCGCUAACGCAACUGUAGGUUCGAAGCCUACCACCGGAGCCA